GCAAAAUUUUGUAGAUGGUUCUCAAUGGUGAACCACGCCGGGCAAGGCAAGUAGUAAAGGUUCUCAACAGCGAUGGGAAGGUUAUUGCAUAUGCAAAGCCUCGAUACCCAAUGGUAAAAGGAAGCGAUACAUCUACUGCUGAAUCAGGGUCAGAAGCUGAAGAUAUAGCUUCUCCAAAAGCAAGGAAGAGCUAUUAGAACCUUAGGUUGACCCCUGUUCGUGAGGAAGCUAAGGUGGUAGGAAAGACAAGCUUUGCUAAUAACUUGUCCGGGUAUGAUGAAUACGUUCCAAUGUUAGACAAACCUGUUGAUGCUGAAUGGAAGAGGCAGGUAUCUCUACAGAGGACUUAUACCUUUAAAGGUUGGUGACUUCUUGGCAUUUAUUGAUGCACCCUUUUGAUCUAUCUUCUUAUUUUUCUUAUUCACUAAACUUUCACCCAAUUGCACAAAUAGGUCUAUGAUGACUGUUUCUGGACUAUGCCACUAUAACUUAGGUUUAGCGUUCAUGGUUGUAAAGAUUAUUUAUAUUGCACUUAAAUUUCAAAAAGACUUUUGAUGAUAGUGUCUGUUUAAGAUCUAAACCAUUCGUCGACUUAUAUUCCAAGAGUUCUAGAUUUUUGGAGAGUUGGGGAUUGUAGGCAUUGCUUAGUUUCUUGAUGUGAGUUAGUAUUUAAUAUGAUUUUGUCCAGCAAAGAUUAACAAUGAUUUUCAAUACAGGAACACGUCCUCUUCCUGACAUUCAGAAUACUCCAGAAGGGGUUAAA